GCCAGGUGCGGUGACACACGUUUGUAAUCCCAGCUACUUGGGAGGCUGAGGCAGGAGGACAGCAAGUUGGAGAGCAGCCUCAGCAAUUUUGUUGGACCCUGUCUCAA
rnacentral:sRNA from 1 species